rnacentral:lncRNA from 1 species
CAUUAACACCUAUAUUAUUUGGGAUUAGUAUUCGUAUUAUUAUCGUGAUUCUUUUUCCUAGCCCAAGAAUUAGAUUGAUCGUCAUAUGGGGUUAGAGAGUAGAGACCUAGGGCUAAUUAAUUUUGUUCCUUUUUCUCUAAAAUAUUUUAUUUUUUACUAGUUUUUAGUUUUCUUUUGUAUUAUAAUACAAACCAUUUAUUUGGUUGCUAUGUAUACUUUGACUGUAUAUGUAUUUUGCGUAUGAUUAUUGUCGGUUUAAACGGCCCUCUUAUGUUUAAAUUCAGGCUCCGCCACUAGCCAUUAGAUCUACUCGUGGCUGUUUUUGGGGUA